CAGUUCGGAUCGCAGGCUGCAACCCGCCUGCGUGAAGUCGGAAUUGCUAGUAAUCGCGGAUCAGCACGCCGCGGUGAAUACGUUCCCGGGCCUUGUACACACCGCCCGUCACACCAUGAGAGCCGGUAACACCCGAAGUCAGUUGUCUAACCGCAAGGGGGACGCUGCCGAAGGUGGGAUUGGCGAUUGGGGUGAAGUCGUAACAAGGUAGCCGUAUCGGAAGGUGCGGCUGGAUCACCUCCUUUCUAUGGAGA
rnacentral:rRNA from 1 species